rnacentral:tRNA from 1 species
GGUCUGUUGGUCUAGUGGUAUGAUUCAUGCUUAGGGUUUAGCGGCCCAAGCCACUCCAAUGCGUGAGGCCCCGGGUUCAAUCCCCGGACAGACCC